rnacentral:rRNA from 1 species
CAGGCCUAACACAUGCAAGUCGAACGGCAGCGGGUCCUUCGGGAUGCCGGCGAGUGGCGAACGGGUGAGUAAAGUAUCGGAACGUACCCUAGAGUGGGGGAUAACUCUCCGAAAGGAGAGCUAAUACCGCAUAUUCUAUGCGUAGGAAAGCAGGGGACCUUCGGGCCUUGUGCUCUAGGAGCGGCCGAUAUCAGAUUAGCUAGUUGGUGGGGUAAAGGCCUACCAAGGCGACGAUCUGUAGCGGGUCUGAGAGGAUGAUCCGCCACACUGGGACUGAGACACGGCCCAGACUCCUACGGGAGGCAGCAGUGGGGAAUUUUGGACAAUGGGCGCAAGCCUGAUCCAGCCAUGCCGCGUGAGUGAAGAAGGCCUUCGGGUUGUAAAGCUCUUUCGGCCGGGAAGAAAUUGUGUGGGCGAAUACCCUGCAUGGAUGACGGUCCGGA